GACGAACGCUGGCGGCGUGCCUAAUACAUGCAAGUUGAGCGCUGAAGGUUGGUACUUGUCCCGACUGGAUGAGCAGCGAACGGGUGAGUAACGCGUGGGGAAUCUGCCUUUGAGCGGGGGACAACAUUUGGAAACGAAUGCUAAUACCGCAUAAAAACUUUAAACACAAGUUUUAAGUUUGAAAGAUGCAAUUGCAUCACUCAAAGAUGAUCCCGCGUUGUAUUAGCUAGUUGGUGAGGUAAAGGCUCACCAAGGCGAUGAUACAUAGCCGACCUGAGAGGGUGAUCGGCCAAAUUGGGAAUGAGACACGGCCCAAACUACUACGGGAGGCAGCAGUAGGGAAUCUUCGGCAAUGGACGAAAGUCUGACCGAGCAACGCCGCGUGAGUGAAGAAGGUUUUCGGAUCGUAAAACUCUGUUGGUAGAGAAGAACGUUGGUGAGAGUGGAAAGCUCAUCAAGUGACGGUAACUACCCAGAAAGGGACGGCUAACUACGUG
rnacentral:rRNA from 1 species